UACGUAGGGUGCAAGCGUUAAUCGGAAUUACUGGGCGUAAAGCGUGCGCAGGCGGCUUUGCAAGACAGAUGUGAAAUCCCCGGGCUUAACCUGGGAACUGCAUUUGUGACUGCAUGGCUGGAGUGCGGCAGAGGGGGAUGGAAUUCCGCGUGAAGCAGUGAAAUGCGUAGAUAUGCGGAGGAACACCGAUGGCGAAGGCAAUCCCCUGGGCCUGCACUGACGCUCAUGCACGAAAGCGUGGGGAGCAAACAGG
rnacentral:rRNA from 1 species